rnacentral:tRNA from 1 species
AGGAUAGUAGUUAAUAAUAACAUUUGAAUUGCACUCAAAAAGUAUUGAAUUCUCAAUCUAUCUU